CUCCCGUUCUCCGUUGUUAGGGUGAGGACUGAGGAGUGAGGACUUAGGGUUUGUGCGCCGGCGCCGCCCGAGCUCUAUUCCCUCCCUCAGCGUCCCUCUCGAGUGUCUCCCCUCUAGUCUCCUCUCCAGCUUUCCUCCGGAGUCCGGACUCUUCGCCUCCCAAGCCCUCUCCUCCGGACCUUCGCCCUCUCCUCCCCCGUGCCAACAACUUCGGCCUCCCCGUCGACGGCGACCGCGGCGGCUCGACGGGUCUUGGGAUUUUUUUGGCUCCCGUCGCCUUCCCUCUCCCUCUUCCGUUCGAAGUCUUCCGUGCAUGCGAGGUCGGAUCCUCUGCUCCACCGAGGUCAUCGGUUGAUGCAGGCUUUAUAAGCGAUUCAUUUCGGGUUUGGGCCCUUUGGGGUUUACUUCAUGUGGCAGAAUAUUUAUGUUGUAUGCGUGAUUUGGGUUUAACAAGUCACCGGAAGCACCAUCAAAUUAGGACAUCUGUUGCCGCUAUCUUUGCAUUGUGGAAGCCUCAUACAGCUAAAAACUAAAAUCAGCAAGCAGCCAAGCAUAUUGAUACAUCAAAAGCUAGUAUGACCAUCUUCCUGCAUCUGGAGUGUUUGAUGCAAACCAUUCAUUCUUCAGACAGUGGCCAACUACAUGACUUUGUUUCUGUUCUCUUUCUAUAAUAUUUUAUCACAUGAACCAUCAUUAGGUGGAAAGCUUUUUGUUGUGAACUUUUAAGUAAUGCAUACCAGCAGCUAAGGAUUUCAUAUUUCAAUUGAUUUGCUUGUAUGUGUAGGAUCCGUAUAUGAAAAUUUUGAAAAAUCUAA